rnacentral:rRNA from 1 species
UAGAUGCGAGAGUAGAGCAUAUCAAUAAGCGGAGGAAAAGAAACUAACAAGGAUUCCCUUAGUAACGGCGAGUGAAGCGGGAAGAGCUCAAAUUUGAAAUCUUCGAGGUUUUACCUUGACGAAUUGUAGUUUAAAGAAGUGUUUUCUGUUGAAGUUUUGGUAAAAGUUCUUUGGAAUAGGACAUCAUAGAGGGUGAGAAUCCCGUAUUUGACCAUUAUUUUCAGCUGUGUGAUACACUUUCAAAGAGUCGGAUUGUUUGGGAAUGCAGUCCAAAAUGGGUGGUAAAUUUCAUCUAAAGCUAAAUAUUGGCGAGAGACCGAUAGCGAACAAGUACCGUGAGGGAAAGAUGAAAAGAACUUUGAAAAGAGAGUUAAACAGUACGUGAAAUUGUCAAAAGGGAAGCGUUUGACACCAGUGUUGUUUUCUCGAAAAUCAAUUAAAAAAGGCCGGAUUUUGUGUUGUAUUGACCUUAAAAGCUUUCUUCACUCUUUUCUUGUCUUUUUUAAUGCACUUCUCGUUUAACAAGUCAACAUCAGUUUCUUUUGUUGUAAAAGGGUCAUUGGAAGGUGGCUUUCUUUUCGGAGAAAGUGUUUAUAGCCUUUGAUCUCUGCAACCGGAGAGACUGAGGUCUGCAGCGUAGACUCUUCGGGGUUAGAUACAUUUGUGCUAAGCUAUAGCUUUUUAUAGACAACUUGUUGACUAUGAUUAGUCUUGUAGCUUACUCGCAGUAUGCUAUUUUACCUACGCUUAGGAUGUUGACACACGCGCGUGCUCG